AAGAUCAAGCACAAGCAAGUCAAACACCAAGAUUUAUAGUAAUUCGGUGCCAAUCAUAUACCUAUGUCCACUCCCCAAGGCUUACUCCUUGAGAAGUUUACUAUAAUCUAUAAACGAGAUUACAGCUCAGUUAUUUUCUAGGCUCACAACCAAACUUAGUUGAUUUUCUAUGGCAAUCAACCAAAACCAAAUUCGAGUUCCAACAUUUGGGAACUCGUUGCUAAUUUCUAAGCUCAACAAGACUUAGUUGAUUUUUUAAGGCAAUCCACCAUAACCUAAAUGUUUAAGGGGUACAUCCAAAUCUUACAAGCUAGUUAUUUUUUCACAGGAACAGCUACACCAAAGAUCCUGCAUGGGAUUCUCUAAUUUCGUGCACUAAAGAAAGAUAGAAAAUACAUGCAAAGUAACAUCUUCAAAGAUUGGAUUAAUGCCGUCGAAGCUUUAGUUUGAAUGCUCUUAAAGUUAGGAUCUUGGUGAACAAAAUUC
rnacentral:lncRNA from 1 species